CAAACACAUCACACACAAAAUAUAAGACAUUUAAACUGCAUAAGUGAUCGUCAAUCAUUUAAACUUCACUAUCAUUAAGCGAUGGAGAAGAAAUCAAUAGCUGGCUUGUGCUUACUCUUCCUCGUUCUCUUUGUUGCACAAGAAAUUGCGGUGACUGAAGCAAGGACUUGUGAGCAUUUGGCUGAUACAUACAGAGGACCAUGCUUCACGGAAGGUAGCUGUGAUGACCACUGCAAGAACAAAGCACACUUAAUUAGUGGCACGUGCCAUAACUUUCAAUGUUUCUGCACUCAAAACUGUUAAGUGUGGAUGAUGGAUUAAUUCUCCAACACCAAGAUGCAUGGAAGGACACAUAUAUAUGAAUUAGACUUUAUGAUAUAAAUAAAUAAUAACAUGCCUAAGUUGUCUUUGAAAUAAGUAUGUGUGUACUCAUCGUGCAUAACGUGUUAGUUAUGCAUUAUUAUGGAAUGAAAUAAACAUAAAUCUAUGAUUAUCUCUUA